GCUGGUAAAAGAUAAACCAUUCUCCUCGGAAUAUCCUGCACACUGCAUAGUUGAGUUCACUGUUUUUUUACCCCCCUGAGUUAUUUGCUUGACUAAGAGCUUUUAUGAAUUAACAGCAUCUGACAGUGUUCGCACAAUCCAGUAAUAGCUAACGACAAGAGAUCGAUGGCAUCAGCCUUUCGGUUUAUCACAAUAAACUUCACCACAACAGCAAUCAUUAGGCACCAUGUCAAUGUCAUUUUAGCGAACAUGAAGAUCCAGACAUCACAUGGCUUUGUGAUAAGAAGGAAGUUUCAAGUUCCUGGGUGUCAACAUCUCUGAAGAUCUGUCCACGUAUUGAUGCAAUUACAAAGAAGGAUUUCACUGGCAUUCAAGGAGGCAAGCCUUACAACAGCUGGAAAUAUAAAAUUGGAAUAUGGACUUGAGUUACGGAGCUCGAGAAGAAGAAGCAGGCCCUUGCAGUUGUGCUGUUGCUUUCGGGAAGAGCAAGAGAGACUGCGAUGGGAAUUUUGGUGGAAGACUUGAAGAAAGAUGAUGGUCAAUAAACGCACUUGACCCAGUUUUUCUGAAGGAAGAAAAGGAUUGGAUUUAUGAGAUAUAUUCAGACUUAGACAAAAUUUCUAGAGACAGUCCUAGAUUAUAUUAUUGAUUUUGAACGGACGUACAGUGGUAUGCGUAAAUCCAAAAUGGAACUUCCUGAUGCAGUACUGGCCUUUAAAUUGUUGGAUACCACGUGUCUAGACAUGAAGGACAGACAGUUAGCAUUAACUGCGUGCACAGAACUUAGAUUUGCAUCUAUGAAGUUGGCACUGAAGAGGAUGUAUGAAGAAUAGGCAGCCAAGAUAACAUUGGAAUUAGUAUGAGUCAGGAAAAGGCAUUCUUCUCUGAGCAGAAAUGAGAGUGUAGCAAACCUAGGUCCUAGAGUGACCAGAUGAGGGUACCGUUACCUGGCACAAAUUCACUAAACAAGUAUGGCAAAAGAUCGAAAUGUGUGGUUUGUCAAAGAGCAAAAAAGUGUCCGCACAGAACUGAACAAGUUAAGCUGACUGAGGAAAAUAACAAACCUGAAGACGUAGAGGAGCGCCAUGUCACAUUGCUUGAAAUGGAGUCACUUACUAAUGCAAAGAUUUUGAUGUUAGAAUCUCUAUGUUAUUGAUACAGCAUGCACGUGCAGUAUGUGGAGAAAAAUGGCUUGAAAGAUAUGUAAGCGAACGAAACCAGAAUGAAGUGCAGAAAACAGUGAACACAGAUACACCCACUUACAAGGCAUUCAAAUUUGCAGAUGGAACGAUAGUAUGUUCGAGCAAAAGAGUAAAAAUUCAGUUAGUAUCUCCACUGCUGAUCUCUGCUCUUUACUCUGAGGUCCUGACUUGCUGUUUGCUGAAACUGUGUAAUAAUGCGUCGAUGAUAUGAACGCAAGGCAAAGGCUGAAAAUGUGAACAGCAGGACCUAGUGCAAAGUGGCACGCAAAACCACAUGGUGUAUGUUAUGUUUUGUAACUCCAGAAACAAAUUGAAAUAACAACAUGGCAGCCUAGAUGUGUGUCGGCUUAGUUUCUUUCCUUUAGAGAGGUGUGCACAUAUGACGUGGU